UACGAAGGGGGCUAGCGUUGUUCGGAAUUACUGGGCGUAAAGCGCGCGCAGGCGGUUUCUCAAGUCAGUGGUGAAAGCCCGGAGCUCAACUCCGGAACUGCCAUUGAAACUGUGAAACUUGAGGACGAGAGAGGUGAGUGGAAUUCCCAGUGUAGAGGUGAAAUUCGUAGAUAUUGGGAAGAACACCGGUGGCGAAGGCGGCUCACUGGCUCGUUUCUGACGCUCAGGCGCGACAGCGUGGGGAGCGAACAGG
rnacentral:rRNA from 1 species